CCAGCGUGGCAACCAGAUUGGUGCCAGGUUUUGGGAGAUCAUCAGUGAUGAACAUGGGAUUGACCCCACUGGCUGUUACCAUGGAGACAGUGAUUUGCAGCUGGAGAGAAUCAAUGUUUACUACAACGAAGCACUGGUAACAAAUAUGUUCCCCUGGACAUCCUCGUGGAUCUGGAGCCAGGCAGGAUGGAUUCUGUUAGGUCUGGACCAUUCAACCAGAUCUUCAGACCAGACAAUUUUGUAUUUGACCAGAGCGGAGCUGGGAAUAACUGGGCCAGGGGCCACCACACAGAGGGAGCUGAGCUGGUAGACUCGGUCCUGGAUGUGGUGAAGAAGGAGUCAGCUGUGACUGUCUCCAGGGCUUCCAGCUGACCCACUCUCUGGGGGGUGGCACGGGGUCCAGGAUGGGCACUCUGCUAAUCAGCAAGAUCUGGGAGGAGUACCCAGACCACAUCAUGAACACUUCCAGCAUCAUGCCCUUACCCAAGGCGUCAGACACGGUGGUGGAGCCCUACAAUGCCACCCUCUCUGUCCACCAGCUGGUGGAAAACACAGAUGAAACCUAUUGCAUAGAAAACGAGGCCCUGUAUGACAUCUGCUUCCACACCCUGAAACUGACCACCCCCGUCUACGGGGACCUCAACACCUGGUGUCAGCCACCAUGAGCGGGGUCACCAUCCGCCUGCGCUUCCUGGGCCAGCUGAAUGCAGACCCGCACAAGCUGGUGGUGAACACAGUGCCCUUCCCAUGCCUGCACCUCUUCAUGCCAGCUUAGUGCCCCUGAUCAGCUGAGGCAGCCAGCAGUACCGCACGAUCAUGGUGCCUGAGCUCACCCAGCAGAUGUUCGACUCCAAGAACAUAAUGGCCACCUGCGACCCCCGCCACAGCUACUACCUGACGGUGGCUGCCAUCUUCCGGGGCCACAUGUCCAUGAAGGAGGUGGAUGAGCAGAUGCUCAACGUGCAGAACAAGAACAGCAGCUACUUCGUGGAGUGAAUCCCCAACAACAUGAAGACAUUCGUGUGCGACAUUCCGCCUGGUGGCCUGAAGACGUCGGCCACCUUCAUUGCCAAGAGCACGGCCAUCCAGGAGCUGUUCAAGCACAUCUCGGAGCAGUUCACGGCCAUGUUCCGGCACAAGGCCUUCCUGCACUGGUACACGUGUGAGGGCAUGGACCAGAUGGAGUUCACCGAGGCCGAGAGCAGCAUGAACGACCUGGUGUCUGAGUACCAGCAGUACCAGGAUGUCAUGGCCGACGAACAAGGGGAGUUUGAGGAGGAGGAGGGUGAGGAGGAGGUGUAG